CGGCUCAGUAACACGUGGAUAACCUACCCUCAGAUCUGGGAUAACUCCGGGAAACUGGAGAUAAUACCGGAUAAUCCGUGAACGCUGGAAUGCCUUACGGUUGAAAGCUUUAGCGUCUGAGGAUGGGUCUGCGGCCGAUUAGGUAGUUGCUGGGGUAACGUCCCAACAAGCCGAUAAUCGGUACGGGUUGUGAGAGCAAGAGCCCGGAGAUGGAUUCUGAGACACGAAUCCAGGUCCUACGGGGCGCAGCAGGCGCGAAAACUUUACACUGCGCGAAAGCGCGAUAAGGGGACCUCGAGUGCGUGCGCAAAGCGUACGCUUUUCAGAUGCCUAAAAAGCAUCUGGAAUAAGGGCCGGGCAAGACCGGUGCCAGCCGCCGCGGUAACACCGGCGGCUCAAGUGGUGGCCGCUAUUAUUGGGCUUAAAGGGUCCGUAGCCGGACCAGUUAGUCCCUUGGGAAAUCUUACGGCUUAACCGUAAGGCUGCCAAUGGAUACUGCUGGUCUUGGGACCGGGAGAGGCAAGAGGUACCUCAGGGGUAGGAGUGAAAUCCUGUAAUCCUUGAGGGACCGCCAGUGGCGAAGGCGUCUUGCUAGAACGGGUCCGACGGUGAGGGACGAAAGCUAGGGGCACGAACCGGAUUAGAUACCCGGGUAGUCCUAG
rnacentral:rRNA from 1 species